GACGAACGCUGGCGGCGUGCUUAAUACAUGCAAGUCGAACGGAAAGGCCCUGCUCUUGUGGGGUGCUCGAGAGGCGAACGGGUGAGUAAAACGCGAGUAUAACGUCCUUGACUUUGGGAUAACUUCACGAAACUGGGGCUAAAAUACGAUAGAAGCUCUUGCUGCAUGGGGUGCGUUGGAAAGUUUCGGCGGUUGUGGCUCGACUCGCGGCUUAUCCGCUUGUUGGGCGGGUAGUGGAUUACCAAGGCUUUGACGGGUAGCCGGCCUGAGAGGGUGGACGGGGUCAUUGGGACUACGAGACGCACCAGUCUCCUACGGGAGGCAGCGGUGGAGAGUAUUACGGAAUAAGGGGGAGCGUGAUACAGCGGCGCCGGGUGCGGGAUGACGGCCUUCGGGGUGUGAACCGCUGUCGCCUGAGACGAAGAGGGAGUGACGGUAAUGGGUAAGGAAGCACCGGCUAACUACGUG
rnacentral:rRNA from 1 species